UCCUGGCGACCAUAGCGUUUUGGAACCACCUGAUCCCAUCUCGAACUCAGCAGUGAA
rnacentral:rRNA from 1 species